AUGUUCCGUAGUUGCUCUUUAGAACUGUCUGACAUUUGGUGUAUGGUUUGUUGUGCAAUUUUUAGUGACAUUGGUUGUGCAUACUCCGUUAAAAUGUUCGAUUUUUGUUCGUUAAGCUUCUUAGAACUGCUAGCAUUUUUCGCAUUUAUUGAUCUGUCUGAUACGAUACAUUACGCUAUAUCAAAAUUUGUAAAAUUUGCUCCAUAUGAUUGUGUGAUGGGUUCUGAUCCUACUGAAUUUGUGUGA